AGGUAAGACUUAAAUUUAAGGAGGCUGACUACAUGAACAUGGGACUGCAAUUUGGUUCACUUUGUUUGUUGCAGCCAAUCGAGUGCUGGAAGACAGAUUAAAUGGAAUAAAUUGGAGGUUCAGGAAUCCAACAAAGCUUUUCUCUGAGAGUCAAGUAGUGUGCUGACACUUUGAGAAGCUUAGAGACUGACAAUCCAAUAGUAAUCGACUUCCAAUGUUGUUCGAUGUGUUAGGCAUGAAGCCUACUAGGUUUAAUUUACUAGCAAGUGUAGUCCUUCUAAGAAAGGUUAUCUAUGAGGAUGUAUUCUUUUUACUUCUUUUAGAGAGUUACCAUGCAAGAGG